GACGAACGCUGGCGGCGUGCUUAACACAUGCAAGUCGAACGGAAAGGCCCUGCUUUUGUGGGGGGCUCGAGUGGCGAACGGGUGAGUAACACGUGAGUAACCUGCCCUUGACUUUGGGAUAACUUCAGGAAACUGGGGCUAAUACCGGAUAGGAGCUCCUGCUGCAUGGUGGGGGUUGGAAAGUUUCGGCGGUUGGGGAUGGACUCGCGGCUUAUCAGCUUGUUGGUGGGGUAGUGGCUUACCAAGGCUUUGACGGGUAGCCGGCCUGAGAGGGUGACAGGCCACAUUGGGACUGAGAUACGGCCCAGACUCCUACGGGAGGCAGCAGUGGGGAAUAUUGCACAAUGGGCGGAAGCCUGAUGCAGCAACGCCGCGUGCGGGAUGACGGCCUUCGGGUUGUAAACCGCUUUCGCCUGUGACGAAGCGUGAGUGACGGUAAUGGGUAAAGAAGCACCGGCUAACUACGUG
rnacentral:rRNA from 1 species